AACGCACCUUGCGCUCGUUGGUAUUCCGACGAGCAUGCCUGUUUGAGUGUCAUUAAAUUCUCAACCUCAUCGCUUUUGUGAUGAUGGUUUGGAAGUGGAGGUUUUUUGCAGGCUGAAAAGUCUGCUCCUCUCAAAUGAAUUAGUGGGUGCCCCGCGCAAACCUAUCUAUUGGUGUGAUAAUUAUCUACGCCGUGGAUCCUUAGGAUUGCUGUAAAAAGGUGUUUGCCCUGCUUCUAACCGUCUUCGGACAACUUGAACCAUUUGACCUCAAAUCAGGUAGGACUACCCGCUGAACUUAA
rnacentral:misc_RNA from 1 species